UUAUUCUUUUUUUAAUUAAAAGCACUAUUUAAGUGAAAAGAAACUUAUUGCAACAAAUUCCCAUCAAAAUAUAUCACAUUUAAAAUUUUUGCUACAUUGCUCAAAAAUGAGGAAAAUUUUACAUUUUCUCAAACAGGGUAAGGAACUUGGUUCCUCGAAUAACUUCUGGCACAGACAUCUGAGGGCAUGGCUGUCCAAGAAGAAAAUGUAGCCAUUGGUGCCAUCUAUCGACCACAGGUUAAAGAUUGGCGAUCCGUUGGAUACCGACCGAGAUAUAGGCAAAAUUUGGAGCAAAAAUGAGGAAAAUUUUACAUUUUCUCAAACAGGGUAAGGAACUUGGUUCCUCGAAUAACUUCUGGCACAGACAUCUGAGGGCAUGGCUGUCCAAGAAGAAAAUGUAGCCAUUGGUGCCAUCUAUCGACCACAGGUUAAAGAUUGGCGAUCCGUUGGAUACCGACCGAGUUAUAGGCAAAAGUUGGUGCAAAAAUGAGGAAAAUUUUCAUUUUUUUUUUGAAUAUUUUUAUUUUUUUAUUAUUUUUCACUUUUUUUUUAUUUCAAGCAUUAUUUGAGUGAAAAGAAACUCAUUGCAACCCAUUGGCAUUAAAAUAAAACAAUUUCAUUUUUUUUGCAAAAUUUCCCAAAAAAUCGUAAGGGGUAAGCCUUAUGAAAUUUUCGAGUUGAAAUUUUUUUUAAAAUUUUUUUCUGAUUUUUUAUUCUUUUUUUAAUUUAAAGCACUAUUUAAGUGAAAAGAAACUUAUUGCAACAAAUUCCCAUCAAAAUAUAUCACAUUUAAAAUUUUUGCUACAUUGCUCAAAAAUGAGGAAAAUUUUACAUUUUCUCAAACAGGGUAAGGAACUUGGUUCCUCGAAUAACUUCUGGCACAGACAUCUGAGGGCAUGGCUGUCCAAGAAGAAAAUGUAGCCAUUGGUGCCAUCUAUCGACCACAGGUUAAAGAUUGGCGAUCCGUUGGAUACCGACCGAGUUAUAGGCAAAAGUUGGUGCAAAAAUGAGGAAAAUUUUCAUUUUUUUUUUGAUUUUUUUUAUUUUUUUAUUAUUUUUCACUCUUUUUUUAUUUCAAGCAUUAUUUGAGUGAAAAGAAACUCAUUGCAACCCAUUGGCAUUAAAAUAAAACAAUUUAAUUUUUUUUGCAAAAUUUCCCAAAAAAAUCGUAAGGGGUAAGCCUUAUGAAAUUUUCGAGUUAAAAUUUUUUUUUAAAUUUUUUCUGAUUUUUUAUUCUUUUUUUAAUUUAAAGCACUAUUUAAGUGAAAAGAAACUUAUUGCAACAAAUUCCCAUCAAAAUAUAUCACAUUUAAAAUUUUUGCUACAUUGCUCAAAAAUGAGGAAAAUUUUACAUUUUCUCAAACAGGGUAAGGAACUUGGUUCCUCGAAUAACUUCUGGCACAGACAUCUGAGGGCAUGGCUGUCCAAGAAGAAAAUGUAGCCAUUGGUGCCAUCUAUCGACCACAGGUUAAAGAUUGGCGAUCCGUUGGAUACCGACCGAGUUAUAGGCAAAAGUUGGAGCAAAAAUGAGGAAAAUUUUACAUUUUCUCAAACAGGGUAAGGAACUUGGUUCCUCGAAUAACUUCUGGCACAGACAUCUAAGGGCAUGGCUGUCCAAGAAGAAAAUGUAGCCAUUGGUGCCAUCUAUCGACCACAGGUCAAAGAUUGGCGAUCCGUUGGAUACCGACCGAGUUAUAGGCAAAAUUUGGAGCAAAAAUGAGGAAAAUUUUACAUUUUCUCAAACAGGGUAAGGAACUUGGUUCCUCGAAUAACUUCUGGCACAGACAUCUGACGGCAUGGCUGUCCAAGAAGAAAAUGUAGCCAUUGGUGCCAUCUAUCGACCACAGGUUAAAGAUUGGCGAUCCGUUGGAUACCGACCGAGUUAUAGGCAAAAGUUGGAGCAAAAAUGAGGAAAAUUUUACAUUUUCUCAAACAGGGUAUGGAACUUGGUUCCUCGAAUAACUUCUGGCACAGACAUCUGAGGGCAUGGCUGUCCAAGAAGAAAAUGUAGCCAUUGGUGCCAUCUAUCGACCACAGGUUAAAGAUUGGCGAUCCGUUGGAUACCGACCGAGUUAUAGGCAAAAUUUGGAGCAAAAAUGAGGAAAAUUUUACAUUUUCUCAAACAGGGUAAGGAACUUGGUUCCUCGAAUAACUUCUGGCACAGACAUCUGACGGCAUGGCUGUCCAAGAAGAAAAUGUAGCCAUUGGUGCCAUCUAUCGACCACAGGUUAAAGAUUGGCGAUCCGUUGGAUACCGACCGAGUUAUAGGCAAAAGUUGGUGCAAAAAUGAGGAAAAUUUUCAUUUUUUUUUUGAAUUUUUUGAUUUUUUUACUAUUUUUCACUCUUUUUUUAUUUCAAGCAUUAUUUGAGUGAAAAGAAACUCAUUGCAACCCAUUGGCAUUAAAAUAAAACAAUUUAAUUUUUUUUGCAAAAUUUCCCAAAAAAAUCGUAAGGGGUAAGCCUUAUGAAAUUUUCGAGUUGAAUUUUUUUUUAAAAUUUUUUUCUGAUUUUUUAUUCUUUUUUUAAUUUAAAGCACUAUUUAAGUGAAAAGAAACUUAUUGCAACAAAUUCCCAUCAAAAUAUAUCACAUUUUAAAUUUUUGCUACAUUGCUAAAAAAUGAGGAAAAUUUUACAUUUUCUCAAACAGGGUAAGGAACUUGGUUCCUCGAAUAACUUCUGGCACAGACAUCUGAGGGCAUGGCCGUCCAAGAAGAAAAUGUAGCCAUUGGUGCCAUCUAUCGACCACAGGUUAAAGAUUGGCGAUCCGUUGGAUACCGACCGAGUUAUAGGCAAAAGUUGGAGCAAAAAUGAGGAAAAUUUUACAUUUUCUCAAACAGGGUAAGGAACUUGGUUCCUCGAAUAACUUCUGGCACAGACAUCUGAGGGCAUGGCUGUCCAAGAAGAAAAUGUAGCCAUUGGUGCCAUCUAUCGACCACAGGUUAAAGAUUGGCGAUCCGUUGGAUACCGACCGAGAUAUAGGCAAAAUUUGGAGCAAAAAUGAGGAAAAUUUUCAUUUUUUUUUUGAUUUUUUUUAUUUUUUUAUUAUUUUUCACUUGUUUUUAUUUCAAGCAUAAUUUGAGUGAAAAGAAACUCAUUGCAACCCAUUGGCAUUAAAAUAAAACAAUUUAAUUUUUUUUGCAAAAUUUCCCAAAAAAAUCGUAAGGGGUAAGCCUUAUGAAAUUUUCGAGUUGAAAUUUUUUUUAAAAUUUUUUUCUGAUUUUUUAUUCUUUUUUUAAUUUAAAGCACUAUUUAAGUGAAAAGAAACUUAUUGCAACAAAUUCCCAUCAAAAUAUAUCACAUUUAUAAAUUUUGCUACAUGGGUGAAAAAUGAGGAAAAUUUUACAUUUUCUCAAACAGGGUAAGGAACUUGGUUCCUCGAAUAACUUCUGGCACAGACAUCUGAGGGCAUUGCCGUCCAAGAAGAAAAUGUAGCCAUUGGUGCCAUCUAUCGACCACAGGUUAAAGAUUGGCGAUCCGUUGGAUACCGACCGAGUUAUAGGCAAAAGUUGGUGCAAAAAUGAGGAAAAUUUUCAUUUUUUUUUUUUUGAAUUUUUUUAUUUUUUUACUAUUUUUCACUCUUUUUUUAUUUCAAGCAUUAUUUGAGUGAAAAGAAACUCAUUGCAACCCAUUGGCAUUAAAAUAAAACAAUUUAAUUUUUUUUGCAAAAUUUCCCAAAAAAAUCGUAAGGGGUAAGCCUUAUGAAAUUUUCGAGUUGAAUUUUUUUUUAAAAUUUUUUUCUGAUUUUUUAUUCUUUUUUUAAUUUAAAGCACUAUUUAAGUGAAAAGAAACUUAUUGCAACAAAUUCCCAUCAAAAUAUAUCACAUUUUAAAUUUUUGCUACAUUGCUAAAAAAUGAGGAAAAUUUUACAUUUUCUCAAACAGGGUAAGGAACUUGGUUCCUCGAAUAACUUCUGGCACAGACAUCUGAGGGCAUGGCCGUCCAAGAAGAAAAUGUAGCCAUUGGUGCCAUCUAUCGACCACAGGUUAAAGAUUGGCGAUCCGUUGGAUACCGACCGAGUUAUAGGCAAAAGUUGGUGCAAAAAUGAGGAAAAUUUUACAUUUUCUCAAACAGGGUAAGGAACUUGGUUCCUCGAAUAACUUCUGGCACAGACAUCUGAGGGCAUGGCUGUCCAAGAAGAAAAUGUAGCCAUUGGUGCCAUCUAUCGACCACAGGUUAAAGAUUGGCGAUCCGUUGGAUACCGACCGAGAUAUAGGCAAAAUUU